rnacentral:rRNA from 1 species
CCUACGGGGGGCAGCAGUGAGGAAUAUUGGUCAAUGGACGAGAGCCUGAACCAGCCAAGUAGCGUGAAGGAUGACUGCCCUAUGGGUUGUAAACUUCUUUUAUAAGGGAAUAAAGUGAUGCACGUGUGCGUUUUUGUAUGUACUAUAUGAAUAAGGAUCGGCUAACUCCGUGCCAGCAGCCGCGGUAAUACGGAGGAUCCGAGCGUUAUCCGGAUUUAUUGGGUUUAAAGGGAGCGUAGGUGGGUUGUUAAGUAAGUUGUGAAAGUUUGCGGCUCAACCGUAAAAUUGCAAUUGAAACUGGCAGUCUUGAGUACAGUAGAGGUGGGCGGAAUUCGUGGUGUAGCGGUGAAAUGCUUAGAUAUCACGAAGAACUCCGACUGCGAAGGCAGCUCACUGGACUGCAACUGACACUGAUGCUCGAAAGUGUGGGUAUCAAACAGGAUUAGAUACCCUGGUAGUC